AUGGGCGGGGGACCUGGUGGUGACGCUGUGCAGAGGGCGGGUGUUGAAGAAUGCAGAAGGACCAUGGCGCUGAAUGUUGAUGAGCUCCUGGUCUUUCGGCGGAACCUCUCCCCUCUCUCGGUGAUUCAGUCGGAGCCCUCACCAAGAUGUGUCGCGAGGGUGGGAGCACAAGGUAGAGCUGCCAGGCACACCACGUGA
rnacentral:rRNA from 1 species